UUACAGGAGUAUAAUAAUAAAAAUAAAGGGGUUAUAGUUAAAUUGGUAGAACGAUUGCGUUGCAUGCAAUUA
rnacentral:tRNA from 1 species